rnacentral:rRNA from 1 species
GACGAACCACACAAACGUUAUUCGGAAUUACUGGGCUUAAAGGGUGCGUAGGCGGCGCAGAAAGUCGGGUGUGAAAUCCCUCGGCUCAACCGAGGAACUGCGCCCUAAACUACUGUGCUCGAGGGAGGUAGAGGUGAGUGGAAUUCCUAGUGUAGAGGUGAAAUUCGUAGAUAUUAGGAAGAACACCAGUGGCGAAGGCGGCUCACUGGCCCGGUACUGACGCUGAGGCGCGAAAGCGUGGGGAGCAAACAGG